UGGCUCAGGACGAACGCUGGCGGCGUGCCUAAUACAUGCAAGUCGAGCGGAUUUNUCCUUCGGGNNCAGUUAGCGGCGGACGGGUGAGUAACACGUAGGCAACCUGCCUGUAAGACUGGGAUAACUAUCGGAAACGAUAGCUAAGACCGGAUAGCUGGUUUUCUCGCAUGAGAAGAUCAUGAAACACGGAGCAAUCUGUGGCUUAUAGAUGGGCCUGCGGCGCAUUAGCUAGUUGGUGAGGUAAUGGCUCACCAAGGCGACGAUGCGUAGCCGACCUGAGAGGGUGAUCGGCCACACUGGGACUGAGACACGGCCCAGACUCCUACGGGAGGCAGCAGUAGGGAAUCUUCCGCAAUGGACGCAAGUCUGACGGAGCAACGCCGCGUGAGUGAUGAAGGUUUUCGGAUCGUAAAGCUCUGUUGCCAGGGAAGAACGCCUAGGAGAGUAACUGCUCUUAGGUUGACGGUACCUGAGAAGAAAGCCCCGGCUAACUACGUGCCAGCAGCCGCGGUAAUACGUAGGGGGCAAGCGUUGUCCGGAAUUAUUGGGCGUAAAGCGCGCGCAGGCGGUCAUUUAAGUUUGGUGUUUAAGCCCGGGGCUCAACCCCGGAUCGCACUGAAAACUGGGUGACUUGAGUGCGGGAGAGGAAAGUGGAAUUCCACGUGUAGCGGUGAAAUGCGUAGAGAUGUGGAGGAACACCAGUGGCGAAGGCGACUUUCUGGACCGUAACNGACGCGA
rnacentral:rRNA from 1 species